rnacentral:rRNA from 1 species
GAUGAACGCUGGCGGCGUGCCUAAUACAUGCAAGUCGAGCGAACGGACGAGAAGCUUGCUUCUCUGAUGUUAGCGGCGGACGGGUGAGUAACACGUGGAUAACCUACCUAUAAGACUGGGAUAACUUCGGGAAACCGGAGCUAAUACCGGAUAAUAUUUUGAACCGCAUGAUUCAAAAGUGAAAGACGGUCUUGCUGUCACUUAUAGAUGGAUCCGCGCUGCAUUAGCUAGUUGGUAAGGUAACGGCUUACCAAGGCAACGAUGCAUAGCCGACCUGAGAGGGUGAUCGGCCACACUGGAACUUGGACACGGUCCAGACUCCUACGGGAGGCAGCAGUAGGGAAUCUUCCGCAAUUGGCGAAAGCCUGACGGAGCAACGCCGCGUGAGUGAUGAAGGUCUUCGGAUCGUAAAACUCUGUUAUUAGGGAAGAACAUAUGUGUAAGUAACUGUGCACAUCUUGACGGUACCUAAUCAGAAAGCCACGGCUAACUACGUG